UUUGGUACGUCGCGUGUGGUUUGGAUACCGAUUGCGUCACCGCGGCGUGACAGUUCUACACCAAACUGUGUGAGUAUCACAUCAACCUAAACGAGCGCUUGGUAUCAUGUCUAAGAACUGAAACUGUUAAGUACCUCGUUCCUACGUAAGCUUCUACUAAGCUACCACUACAGAGCAGAUCAAAGACACAUUUGACAGCGUGUCCUUUAUGUUGGCGGGAUGAGUGGUGACCCUCUUUCACAUGACUUCUGCUCUGAGAGAAGCAGGGAUGUGCUCCCUGGCUCUGUAGGAACUCCUGUUUGGACUGGUCCCUUUUUGGAUGUUACUUGGCCUGGGAUAAUUCCCUGUCCUCACCAGCCUGCCAUCAGUCCACACAUAUUUAACUGCCCAUGUCAGUCCAUUCAGUGUCAGCUGGCCUCUCCACACUACAUUCUGGAGGCCUCAAACCAGUACCACCUCCUUACAGGCCUUUUGCCUGGACCACCACACACCAGCUAUCACAGUUCAGUACCUGCUUCUGGACUCGUUAAUGAACCCGUUCCUUUUGGCAUGAUGCAGGAUGACUUAUACAACCAUGUAGCCAUGAACUAUCUGCACCAGCAGUAUGGAGUCACUGAGGUCACAUCUCAGAUACAGCCUACACCAAGCCAAAGUGACCCAUCACCCUCGGGUGGAUCUCCUGUCAAUCCACGGAUUAAAAACAGCACCUCAGGUAGAAACACACUGGAUCUGGAAGUAUGUAACAGUGGAGGUGGAGAGGCAGCACAGGUUAACCCCUGCGAGCCAGGCCCUAAUUUUCUUACCAUGGAAUCUGCACCAGCACAGAUACAGGGAGAUGAUGGACUAACUCAAGAGAAAGAUCUGAGCAUAAUAGAGACUCUCAGGCAGGUAGGAAACACUGUCCCCCCUCUGCCUUUACCAUGAUUUAUUUCCAAUCAACUGAAUCUUUAAUGUUUUGUUAUGUAUUUAUUCAUAUACCAUUACCCCAGUCCUACCAGGAAGCGCAUCCCCUGUAUGAGAACAUGCAGCCUCAGACCCAUCCAACAAGAACUGUUGGAAAUCUGUGUGAGUCAAAGUCCAGGAAGCCCUGCCGCUGCACUAGGUCCCAGUGCCUUAAACUGUACUGUGAGUGUUUUGCUAAUGGGCUGAUGUGCAGCAGCUGUGACUGCUCCAACUGCCACAACAAUGCAGACCACGGAAUGAAGCGCCAUCAGGCAAUUAAGGUUUGCAGUACUUUUCAUUAGCAUGUGUUAGUUAAUUAGUUAGUAAAGUUAUAGAUGAAUUUCUAUGACAUCUAUCUUAAGCGCU
rnacentral:lncRNA from 1 species